AGCUUCAGUUAUGUAUAGGUCAUAGCACAUUUAAUUUUUAACAUUGGUAUGACUUAUUCCUAUAGCAGGAAGACUGCCUUGAAGAAACAGAAUCUGCUAUAAGAAUACUAUCAGGAAAGAAUGGUCAAGUCAGGUGAAACCGCUGCUAUUGUAUGACUGCAUCUAGAACUCCAAUGUGCUGAUUCUUAGUACCUUUGCGUUCUUUCCUGAGGAAGCUGAGGCAAAUCAGGUCUUAAGAAACCUGUCAAAUGUCAACCCCUGGAGUCCCAAGUGGCAGCUUCCUCAAUUCACUGACUGACUAAUUUUACUCAUUACUUUGGAGAUAGGGCUAAGAUUUCUUUAAAACAAACAAACAAACAAACAAACUGAAAUAAUCGUGUACCUGGACUAUCUGCGGCUGCCUUUUCCAGCACCUUCCUGUGGACUGCUCCAGGGCACUCUCUAGAAGUCAGAAUGGACUCCUGCUGAUUCUCUCGCAUAUUUGUCUUGAAUAAAAG
rnacentral:lncRNA from 10 species